rfam:Pteropus alecto contig165322, whole genome shotgun sequence.
GUCUAUGGCCAUGCCACCCUGAAUAUGCCUGAUCCUGGCUGAUCUCAGAAGCUAAGCAGGGUCAGGCCUGGUUAGUACUUGGAUAAGAGAUCACCUAGGAAGACCAGGUGCUGUAGGCA